CAAGCACACAACCCUGAACACACACUCCCAGGCAGAGGACAGGACUCUCUUUGAGUGCAAUAGAUACGGCUAAGUGGCUCAUGAAUCUACGGUUUCCUUCCCUGGACAUUUAUUGAAUCCCGUCUCAAAGCCGCUGUUCCCGUCUAACAACACCAGGAGAGAGAAACGCAGAAAGAGGGGUUUCCCAGAGACUAUGGGUUGAAGAGGAAUUGGAAGUUUGUCGGCUUAGACCUGGUGUCAUUCCAUCAGUGUUAAACUUCCCAGCUCAUCUUGGAAGAGUACAUGCCAGAAAGACCACAACCAAGCAGCCUUGAGAUCUUAGGCAACGUCUCCCUCAGGUCCCUCUCUAUCUCCCCACACAUCCACCAACCACUGGAACACAUCUCCAAAGUUCUGCUGGGCCAGCUCAGCUUCCCUUCAGAAGAAGUGCUGCCACCUGCCAGAUGAAGGAGCCUUUUGAGAGGCAGCUGGCAUCGUGAUUGGACUGUACUUUGGUCUGUUCCAAUCCAGCUUCAGCUCCAGAGACGGCAGACGGGACGAGUCAACGGAGGCCUGGUGGACGAAGUCAUGCAGCUGAGUACAAUCCAGAAAACAACAGAGGAGGAGUGCAGUGGCCCAGAGCCAGAACAAACAGAGUAGCAUCGUAUGUCUCUUAGAAAACAUCAUAGUAUAGCCUUUGGGAUGAAAAAACGCCAUCAUAUACAUCGUAUAUUGUACAAAUAACAAGUCAAAGCAAAGAGACAUACAUUGUAGAAUUGUAGUAAUUGUGGGCUGACUGAUUUACUGAUUAUCAGUAUUUUAUUUUUUACUGAUUUAUGGUAAUAAAUACAUUUACAAAUGGC